UCCUGGCUCAGGACGAACGCUGGCGGCGUGCCUAACACAUGCAAGUCAACGAGGUCCAAGGAAGCUUGCUUCCUGAAGACCUAGUGGCGAACGGGUGAGUAACACGUGAGAAACCUGCCUCGGAGUGGGGAAUAACUCGGGGAAACUCGAGCUAAUACCGCAUACCUUCACAUGAUCGUAUGGUCGAGUGAAGAAAGAAUUUCGCUCUGAGAGGGUCUCGCGGCCUAUCAGCUUGUUGGUGGGGUAACGGCCUACCAAGGCAACGACGGGUAGCUGGUUUGAGAGAACGAUCAGCCACACUGGGACUGAGACACGGCCCAGACUCCUACGGGAGGCAGCAGUGGGGAAUCUUGCGCAAUGGGCGAAAGCCUGACGCAGCAACGCCGCGUGCGGGAUGACGGCCUUCGUGGUUGUAAACCGCUUUCAGCAGGGACGAAAAUGACGGUACCUGCAGAAGAAGCCCCGGCUAACUACGUG
rnacentral:rRNA from 1 species